AUUCAGUCCUGCAGUGCUGUGCAGGAAACUGUGAGCAGGACAGAAGAGAAGAGCUGCUUUCUGCACUCGAGCUAAAGCUUUAAUGUCCUCGACAACGAGCAGCUUCACUCAUCAUCGACUGUCACAGGAAGUCAUGUGGAAACUGCUGUUGACCUUCAGUCUGCUUUGCUGGACGUCUGAGGGCAGUGUGACCUGCAGAAAUGAAAACAAUGGUGAAGUGGACUGGUACAUCUUGUACAAGACGCCCAAGACAAAUACUUUACAGGGUGUGGAGUAUCUUUACAUCGAUUCACA